UUUUCCGGCAUUAUUGGGCGUAAAGGGCUCGCAGGCGGUUUCUUAAGUCUGAUGUGAAAGCCCCCGGCUCAACCGGGGAGGGUCAUUGGAAACUGGGGAACUUGAGUGCAGAAGAGGAGAGUGGAAUUCCACGUGUAGCGGUGAAAUGCGUAGAGAUGUGGAGGAACACCAGUGGCGAAGGCGACUCUCUGGUCUGUAACUGACGCUGAGGAGCGAAAGCGUGGGGAGCGAACAGGAUUAGAUACCCUGGUAGUCCACGCCGUAAACGAUGAGUGCUAAGUGUUAGGGGGUUUCCGCCCCUUAGUGCUGCAGCUAACGCAUUAAGCACUCCGCCUGGGGAGUACGGUCGCAAGACUGAAACUCAAAGGAAUUGACGGGGGCCCGCACAAGCGGUGGAGCAUGUGGUUUAAUUCGAAGCAACGCGAAGAACCUUACCAGGUCUUGACAUCCUCUGACAAUCCUAGAGAUAGGACGUCCCCUUCGGGGGCAGAGUGACAGGUGGUGCAUGGUUGUCGUCAGCUCGUGUCGUGAGAUGUUGGGUUAAGUCCCGCAACGAGCGCAACCCUUGAUCUUAGUUGCCAGCAUUCAGUUGGGCACUCUAAGGUGACUGCCGGUGACAAACCGGAGGAAGGUGGGGAUGACGUCAAAUCAUCAUGCCCCAUAUGACCUGGGCUACACACGUGCUACAAUGGGCAGAACAAAGGGCAGCUGAAACCGCGAGGUUAAGCCAAUCCCACAAAUCUGUUCUCAGUUCGGAUCGCAGUCUGCAACUCGACUGCGUGAAGCUGGAAUCGCUUAGUAUGUCGCGGAUCAGCAUGCCGCGGUGAAUACGUUUCCCCGGGGCCUUGGUACACACCGCCCCGUCACACCAACGAGAGUUUGGUAGUCACCCCGAAGUCGGGGUGGAGGGUAACCCUUUUUUUGGGAGCCCAGCCCGGCCGGAAGGGGUGGGGGAACAAGAUGGAUUGGGGGGGUUGAAAGUUCCGUUAACAAAGGGGUAAUCUCGAUAUAAGUAU
rnacentral:rRNA from 1 species